GCCCCUUUAGCUCAGUGGAUCAGAGCAUUCGGCUUCGGACCGAAGGGUCGGGGGUUCGAAUCCCUCAAGGGGCACCA
rnacentral:tRNA from 1 species